rnacentral:rRNA from 1 species
UACGUAGGGUGCGAGCGUUAAUCGGAAUUACUGGGCGUAAAGCGUGCGCAGGCGGUUUUGUAAGUCUGACGUGAAAUCCCCGGGCUUAACCUGGGAAUUGCGUUGGAGACUGCAAGGCUGGAGUCUGGCAGAGGGGGGUAGAAUUCCACGUGUAGCAGUGAAAUGCGUAGAGAUGUGGAGGAGCACCGAUGGCGAAGGCAGCCCCCUGGGUCAAGACUGACGCUCAUGCACGAAAGCGUGGGGAGCAAACAGG